UACGAAGGGGGCUAGCGUUGCUCGGAUUGACUGGGCGUAAAGGGCGCGUAGGCGGUUCGUACAGUCAGACGUGAAAUUCCUGGGCUCAACCUGGGGGCUGCGUUUGAUACGUGCGGACUUGAGUGCGGAAGAGGGUCGUGGAAUUCCCAGUGUAGAGGUGAAAUGCGCAGAUAUCAGGAAGAACACCCGUGGCUAAGGCGGCUCUCUAGUACGGUACUGACGCUGAGACGCGAAAGCGUGGGGAGCGAACAGG
rnacentral:rRNA from 1 species